AUUGAACGCUGGCGGAAUGCUUUACACAUGCAAGUCGAACGGCAGCACGGACUUCGGUCUGGUGGCGAGUGGCGAACGGGUGAGUAACAUAUCGGAACGUAUCCAAUAAUGGGGGAUAACGAGUCGAAAGAUUCGCUAAUACCGCAUACGCCCUACGGGGGAAAGCUAGGGACCUUCGGGCCUGGCGUUGAUGGAGCGGCCGAUAUCUGAUUAGCUAGUUGGUGAGGUAAAGGCUCACCAAGGCGACGAUCAGUAGCUGGUCUGAGAGGACGACCAGCCACACUGGAACUGAGACACGGUCCAGACUCCUACGGGAGGAAGCAGUGGGGAAUUUUGGACAAUGGGCGCAAGCCUGAUCCAGCCAUUCCGCGUGAGUGAAGAAGGCCUUCGGGUUGUAAAGCUCUUUCGCAAGGGAAGAAAACUUAUCCUCUAACAUAGGAUGAGGUUGACGGUACCUUGAUAAGAAGCACCGGCUAACCACGUGCCAGCAGCCGCAGUAA
rnacentral:rRNA from 1 species